UACGUAGGGUGCAAGCGUUAAUCGGAAUUACUGGGCGUAAAGCGUGCGCAGGCGGUAAUGUAAGACAGUUGUGAAAUCCCCGGGCUCAACCUGGGAACUGCAUCUGUGACUGCAUUGCUGGAGUACGGUAGAGGGGGAUGGAAUUCCGCGUGUAGCAGUGAAAUGCGUAGAUAUGCGGAGGAACACCGAUGGCGAAGGCAAUCCCCUGGGCCUGCACUGACGCUUAUGCACGAAAGCGUGGGGAGCAAACAGG
rnacentral:rRNA from 1 species